rnacentral:rRNA from 1 species
AAUCAACGCUGGCGGCGUGCCUCAGACAUGCAAGUCGAACGAUUAAGACUUCCUUCGGGAAGUGUAUAAAGUGGCGCACGGGUGAGUAACACGUAAGUAAUCUACCUUCGAGUGGGGAAUAACGUUCGGAAACGAACGCUAAUACCGCAUAAUGCAGCGGCACCUAAUGGUGACAGUUGUUAAAGGAGCAAUUCGUUUGAAGAGGAGCUUGCGGCAGAUUAGCUAGUUGGUAAGGUAAUGGCUUACCAAGGCUACGAUCUGUAACCGGUCUAAGAGGAAGGGCGGUCACACUGACACUGAAUAACGGGUCAGACUCCUACGGGAGGCAGCAGUCGGGAAUUUUGGGCAAUGGGCGAAAGCCUGACCCAGCAACGCCGCGUGAAGGAUGAAGUAUUUCGGUAUGUAAACUUCGAAAGAAUGGGAAGAAUCAAUGACGGUACCAUUUAUAAGGUCCGGCUAACUACGUGCCAGCCGCCGCGGUAAAAC